UACGUAGGGUGCGAGCGUUAAUCGGAAUUACUGGGCGUAAAGCGUGCGCAGGCGGUUCGUUGUGUCGGCGGGGGAAAGCCCCGGGCUUAACCUGGGAAUGGCCGUCGAAACUGGCGAACUGGAGUGUGGCAGAGGGGGGUGGAAUUCCUGGUGUAGCGGUGAAAUGCGCAGAUAUCAGGAGGAACACCGAUGGCGAAGGCAGGUCUCUGGGCCACUACUGACGCUGAGAAGCGAAAGCAUGGGGAGCAAACAGG
rnacentral:rRNA from 1 species